rnacentral:misc_RNA from 1 species
AAGUCGUAACAAGGUUUCCGUAGGUGAACCUGCGGAAGGAUCAUUAACACUUUUUUGUUGAUUGUUUGGUUUUUUUACAAAAACCGACAACCACACAUUAUCCUAUCCAAACUGAAGAGCUUGUGAGCAGUGUGCUUUUUAAGCUGGCUCCCAUUUCUCACUUUUUUCACUUUUAUUACAAAACCCCAAUCACACAAAUCUAAAUCAUUUGUGAGAUUGCAAACAAUCAAUUUGCUAUCUUGACAAUCUAAAAACACAGUAUUAAGAGAUUACAUCUCAAAUGUAACCAAACAACUCUUAACAACGGAUAUCUUGGCUCUC